rnacentral:rRNA from 1 species
GACGGGGGAUGCAAGCGUUAUCCGGAAUCACUGGGCGUAAAGCGUCUGUAGGUGGUGAUGCAAGUCACUGGUGCAAAACUCUGGCUCAACCGGAGGAAAGCCAGUGAAACUGCAUGACUAGAGUGUGGGAGAGGUAGAAGGAAUUCCAUGAGUAGCGGUGAAAUGCGUAGAUACAGGGAAGAACACCGGAGGCGAAAGCGUUCUACUGGAACACAACUGACACUGAGAGGGGAAAGCUAGGGGAGCGAAUGGG